rnacentral:tRNA from 1 species
GCUCUCGUAGCUUAGUGGUCAGACCAUUGGUGUGUAAAGCCAAAGGUCCCAGGUUCGAUUCCCGGCGGGAGCA